UGGCUUCGGCUACCACUUACAGAUGGACCCGCGGCGCAUUAGCUAGUUGGUGAGGUAACGGCUCACCAAGGCAACGAUGCGUAGCCGACCUGAGAGGGUGAUCGGCCACACUGGGACUGAGACACGGCCCAGACUCCUACGGGAGGCAGCAGUAGGGAAUCUUCCGCAAUGGACGAAAGUCUGACGGAGCAACGCCGCGUGAGUGAUGAAGGUUUUCGGAUCGUAAAGCUCUGUUGUUAGGGAAGAACAAGUACCGUUCGAAUAGGGCGGUACCUUGACGGUACCUAACCAGAAAGCCACGGCUAACUACGUGCCAGCAGCCGCGGUAAUACGUAGGUGGCAAGCGUUGUCCGGAAUUAUUGGGCGUAAAGGGCUCGCAGGCGGUUUCUUAAGUCUGAUGUG
rnacentral:rRNA from 1 species